rnacentral:lncRNA from 1 species
GUUAGCUAUAUGUAUCUCAAAGAUGCUCUUAAUGGAGAUGGGGAAGUUCUUCACUAUUUCUAUUUUUCUGAGGAUUUUUAUAAUGAAUAGAUUUUGAUUUUGUCAAAUUAUUUAUUUGCAUCGGUUGAAAUGAUCAUGAGAUUUUUCUUCUUUAGACUGUUAAUAUAGUGGACCGUAUUGAUUGCUUUGCAAAUACUGAACCAGCCUGGCAUCUCUGGAAUAAAUUCUACUUUGUCAUGCCUAACACACCACCACCACCACCACCACCACCUCAGCCUUCCCACGUUCUGGCAGUCUUCCCAAUUCUGGAAGAAGUCAAAAGGAAUAACGACAUACACUCCAUUGUGUAGUAAUCCGGGUCCUGGAAGCUACAGGUAAAUGAGGCAGGCGAAUGUGUCACCUGUACUUGGCCAAAUGCCCCAAUUUCCUCCAGGAGACCCUUAAUCAGUUGGAGGAAUUUGAUGCUGUUACAACGCAAAUAACCCUUAGUUUUCAGUCUCUACCCUACCGUAUAACCAAAUUCCUGAAAAUUUCCUGAGUUCAGCUUUUGGUAGAAGAGCAAGAGUAAAGUGUGCAAGGCUCAGCUGAGACAGAAUGAGUGGAGCACGUCAUGAAGAGAAGGGGUCAGAAGUGUGAGGCUGGGGAUGAUGUGACCUCACAUUCAUAACAAUUUUGACUACGGCUAGCCUGAAAUCAAGGGUUUCCCAGGAAACUGCCAGCUCACAGAUGGCUCAGAGUUUCCUUAGCAACUGCUCGGGGCUGUCUGGGACAACCAAAGCCCAGAACAGUCCUUCAGGACACCCAUAGUUUCUCCUCUGGUCUCCUAAGAUGGACAAGAGUAUCUUGAACCAUCCAAACCACAAACAUCUCCAGCACAUGGUUUCCAUUAUAACAAUCCUGGGUAUCUGUCAAAAGUGAAGAGCAGGAGGUUGUAACUCUGAGGAGAGAAGACAGACCGGAGAGCCAAUCAAAUUUCAAACUAUACUUUGCUGUGGGCAUGGAUGGAGAAGCAGGUCACAUCUGAUGAAUGAAGAGGAGCUUCCAAGCAGCCAAAGUAAAGUAUUUUGCUACACAAACUGCAGGAUCAAUGUUCGUGUUUUGAAGCUCAAGAGAUUGACAGCUGUAGAAAUUAAGUUCCAGAAUAUAUCCACCAGCCAGGUUCAUAAUUGUCUCAGAAGUGGCCCUGGGAAACCCAAACAGCUCCAAGGACCACUAUACCAGGCCACUCCGCUUCUCUAAUAAAAUAUUUCUACCACUACUCUUAAAAUUUGUUUUUAAAAUUUAAUUUUUAAGAGCUGUUUUAGGUUUACAACAAAAUUAAGAAAGAGGUACAGAUAUUUCCCACAUACCCCCUGUCCCAUACAUGCAUAACUUCCCCUUUAUCAACGUCAGUCUCCA